ensembl:lncRNA
GCAGCUUCAAGCUUGAUCACUGCGGCCUGACGGAGGACAGUAAAGCACUCUACCCAAUCCUGGUCUGACAUUCUGCUAUCGGUAUUCCACAUCAUAACAUCAUGGACAAAAGGAAGAAGAACUAUGUAUCCCAGAGGACCUCACAGUCAGAGAAGGAAGAUACAUCGUAGAAGCUACGUCAUCCGGUUGCGCACGGUCUUUUUCACUUUCGCUUGCUGCCAGGGAGAGGAGUGGGUGUGCUUCCAAGCCGUGCACCUUCAUCAGGGAAGCAUGGAGAUGCCAGAGCAAAUCCACUGAAGAGCCACAAAGACUAUUAAGAGCUCGUUGCAUCUGUCAUAAAAGGAGAGCCUGAGAGAGCUGUUUGUUCAGCCUGGAGUACAAGAGGCUCAGACAGGUCUUAUCAGUGUAUACAAAUACCUGAUGGGAAAUUUCAACCUCAGUGACUCUGGAAUUCUGUGUUCUGAUCGUUGUUUCACACAUCAGUGUUGGAACAUUCUGCUAAUAAUAAAGUUCAUAAGCAACCAAUGACAUGGGCUGUAGCUGCUGAAGCUAAACUUCUAAGUAAUCCUAAAUGGAAAGAAGAAAAUUGUUCCUGACAAGCUGAAAUUACAUUAUAAAGCCUUCCAUAUUUUGAAAAGCCGUUUGUCUUAGAGGUAGCUGGUCUUGGAAGGAUCUCAAGAGAGAAUGAGAAGAAUUCUCAACAAAAACAAUCACUAUGACCAAUUCAGAGAUGUCUCAUUGUUUCACAAUCUAUGAACACUAAAAAGAUGCUGUUGACUGAGAAAUAACACUACAGUACUGAAUUAUAAAGAUACUGGAAAUGACAAUUUCCAGGUGGAAUAAAAAAGGAAAGAUGUUGAAGUAUACCCUUGACACAAUAAGUUACCAUUUAAGGUAAACAUUGUUACCUGGACUUUUAGAGGAACAUGAGAGAAGAAAUUACAGAAAUAAUAUAUGCUAGCAAAAAGAUGUGUUUUUUGUCCAUAGAAUAUUCAUCAUGGACCUUUGAACAUUUCUUCUCACAGUGUGUAUAUCUUGAAUAUACACUGAAGACUCAAAGGUUGCCUGAUACAGUACUGAGAAUGGAUGAAAAUUUGUGUGCUUAUUCAGGACACUAUGACCCUCUGCUGCUGUUGUGUAACAUCUGUGCCUGGCUGCUUCAUGGACUGGCAUACCAGUAAAUGGAAGGAGAUUCAGACCUUGCAGGGAAUUUCAAUGCCCACUGUGCCUUCUAGAAUCAGAACAUUGUCACCUGCAAAAAGCUCAGAGAGGUUGAAAACCCACAGCAAAAAAAGAAGGAAAAGUUAUAAUGAAUGAAUCUGGA